rnacentral:lncRNA from 1 species
CCUGCAGUAUAUUUUUUAUUUGCUGCAGUAUAUUUUUUGUUUGCGUUGAGCCUUCAGGGCCACCGUACAAAGUUGAUUACAAAAGACUUGAGAGGAAAAAGACCUUAAACCGUUUUGUUCGAACCAAACAUAGCGCAAAACAGAUUAAGAUAAAAGGCGGGAAAGUGUGGAAACGAGGUAAAAUAUUUGAUAUCCCAUGGUUCUCUCUGGGCUUGUGUGCACAAGAAGAAAAAAGAUGGCAACUCCUGAGGAGCUCAGCUCUGCAGCAGAUUCUUUUGAUGAAAGUAACUCUGUUAGUAGUACAACUUCAUUCCGAUCCUCCUUUACUUCAUUCCGAUCCUCCUGUACUUCAUUGUCUCUCACAAUGGAUAGCAACUCCGAAAGGGUAGAGGUUUUUAAAACCCGUUCUCGAAAAAGAAAUAACUCGCAAACGGCUAAGAGGGUUAAAAUACCAAAAGAGAAGAUUACUUCCUAUCAACCGCAGGUCACCUUCUCCGGCUCCAGUUGAAACAGAAAAAAGUACCUCCGAUCUUGAGGUCGUAGAUGCUGGGGAAGAACAGAGAACAAAGGAAGGCUACUCAUUAGAAAAAGCCCACUUCGGUAUGUACAGCACCGACAAGUUACGAGGAUGAAAUGGACAAUCAAGUACGUCUGCAUCUGAUGGAGAGAAAGAUUCAUCUGGUGAUGAGCUCUCCUCCUUGUCGUCAUUUAUAUCAAUUAUGUCUGGUGAUGAAACUUUAAGUGAGCCUGAAGACAUUGAAAGUAUGCCGGGCGAUCUUAGCCAUACUAACAACAAUUAGGAGCUCGAGCAAGAUCGCUUAGAUGAUUUCACAAAAGAGGCGUUGUAUGAGAGUGCAAGCUUAUCGGUAUUUGAAUGCUGCACUCUUGUGAUGCUUUUCAUCACCAAACACCGCCUUACAAAAGUGGCUCUUCAAGACCUCCUCUACCUCAUCCAUCCAGACUGUGGGACCCUCUGUAGGAUGUAAAAUGGUGACUUCAAUUGACCGUCUCAAUGGAUUGUUUACCAAAUUUUUUGGUAAUAAAGCGGACACUCUUCACUAAAUGUGUUAGCAUUGUGGAAACCUUUUAAAACAGUGGAAAGCUUUUAAAACAGGGCAAAACACGAUGCACUGCCUCUAGAGGUUGUAAAGAAGCAGGAACUGUGACAUUUGCAGAGUUGAAUGUUGAAGAAAAACUAAGAGAAUUGUUUUUUGAUGCCAAAUUCUGCAGUCUUAUAUUACAAUCACCAAGAACUGCAUCUGGAAAUAACUGCUUACAGGAUAUAUAUGAUGGAAAUCUGUAUAAACACCACAAUUCCCAGGAAGAUUCAUUUCUCCAGUGCCUUGGAAUAUUUAUUUUACUCUAAACACCAAUGGAGUGAGUGUAUUGUCUUCCUCAAAGAAGGGGUAUCUUUGGUCAGUGUGUUUAGCCAUCAAUGAACUUCCCAUUGAGCAAAGGUACAGCAAAAAGUACCUCAUCCCAGCCCUUCUUUACUGUCAUAAAGGGACCCCAAACAUGCAUUCCCUUUUAAUGUGACUUGUUUGUUACUUCAUCUUACUGACAUUGUUGCCACCUUGGAUCCAUUAUGGGCCUAUUCCUGCUUUUGAUUUGAAGGCAUGAAUGCUGUGUAAAAGAAUUUCAUUCAUGGAACAGCCAAAGGUAUUUGACAGGUAUCACUGGCCUUGGGAAUGCUGGACAGACUUCCAAAUCUAUGUUUGGAAUUAACUAACAGAGCUAGCAUUGCAGAUGAAGUCAAGACAAUGAUCAGAAAAUUGACUGUGACUGAGAGGAGGAUUAACAUCACACACCAGUUUGAAAGCUCAACGGCCGUUGGAAAGGUGAUAGAGGCAACCUUAGAUCCAGAGGCUUUGGUACCAGUAAACCUACUUUCAGAAGACAUGGGAUUACAGGCUUUGACAGGGGAAAGCAGAGUGAAGCAGUGCGACUGAAUGCACAUAAAUCAGCAAGUGUUCUAUUCAUCACAGUAUCCUCGCACAAACUCAAUGAAUUCUUAUACUGUUGAGUUUAGAAACUGUAAUGGUGUUCUGCUCUAUGGUGAAAUUUUGACCCACAUUAUUGUAAACGACAAGGAUCCAAUAGCCAUUGUUAGACCCUUUAAAGUGACUGAGAAGUGUAUUCUUGAUGUGGAUAAGGAGGUAAAAAACCACAGAGUUUUAAAAAAGUAUGUAUGGCCAAGGAGUGACAAAGAAAAACUAGCUACACACAUCAAGCUAGUAGAUUUAAGUAACAAGUACCUAAACCUCACAGCAAUACGUGUAACCAACAUAAUUAAAAAGUGUGUGUAUGCUGACAAAACAGGGGGAAGGAUAUGCUCCAAUUUCUUCCUUUCCAAACUUGGUGGAGCAUGAUUGAAGGUCCGGAUGACUCAACAGUGUUUUAAAACUAAUUAUCAUAUGCAAGAAAUGUAUGGUCUUUCCCAAUGAGUAGAACAAAAGAAGCAAUUCACACAAGACUUUUUUUCAAAUAACAUGGAAAAGUAGGAUUGAUGAUCUGUAGCCUGCAUGUCUACAGUCAAGUAACACAACAGGUAAUCGCUAGAACAGUGGACUAUUUAGGGGCCACUUGCCAGAAAACAAUUGUUGAUGAUCAGUUAUCUACAGCUCACCUGAGUAAUGAUGACAAAAAUUAUUUUGUCAAUUGCAGCCAGCCAAAGCCAUCCAUAUCCCAUACUAACUUUAGAAAAAGGAAAGCUUACCUAAUGAGACUCACAGGCCCGUUAGCAAUAACAAGAUAGUUCAAAUGUUCUGCUUUUCUUCGCAAGUGGCUUCAUCAUUAGCCUGUGUCGCAGAAGUGAUUUAACAGCUACAGGUGUCAUGUACUACUGUACAUCAUGAGACAAACUAUAAUACACUUUCUACAGUGAUAUCUGUAAAUGGAAUUAGGAAUUAAAGUUUGCUCAUGUAAACAGA